UACGUAGGGUGCGAGCGUUGUCCGGAAUUACUGGGCGUAAAGAGCUCGUAGGUGGUUUGUCGCGUUGUCCGUGAAAACUCACAGCUCAACUGUGGGCGUGCGGGCGAUACGGGCAGACUGGAGUACUGUAGGGGAGAGUGGAAUUCCUGGUGUAGCGGUGAAAUGCGCAGAUAUCAGGAAGAACACCCGUGGCGAAGGCGGCUCUCUGGGACGGUACUGACGCUGAGACGCGAAAGCGUGGGGAGCGAACAGGG
rnacentral:rRNA from 1 species